UAAAGCAUUCUUUGUGUGCUGCUGCAACUGGGUGGAGGUCAUGCCAGGAAAGGCAUUCUACGCAGUGUGAAAGAGAUCACACAAACAUCUUGACAUCUCUGGAGGAGAGGAAAGAAAAUAAAUCAUGAAACAGGCAUUUUGAUCAGAACUAACUGGCAGUUUAGAAUUCUGGCUUGAUCAUGCACGACCAGUACCAUAGACCUGUUACCAUCUAUUUCCCUAUCCAUCUGACUUGGCUUUGGUGUUUCCUGUUAGCUGGUUCUGCUCAGGUGAUUACACUUCCCGUAUCAUUUACCUUCUCUGAACAGUCAAGAAUCCAGCCACGUGGCAUGCUUACACAUAAUGUGUAUCGAGGCUGUUUGAAGGGAAGAGCCUCUUCUGACUGCUUAAAAAUUUCAGUUCUUUUAAAGCACAAGUGUAUCAAAAUUGUACUGAGAUAAUGUGAUAUCACAGUGGUAUCUCCAGGGUGAAAUGUUAUUUGUACAAUUGUUUAUUCUGAGGUAGGUACUUAAUUCAAAACCAUAGAGAAUCCUGAAAUGCUUGUAUUAACAUCUGUCUAG